rnacentral:rRNA from 1 species
CAAAACGCCAUAGAGUGCGACAGAUGUUGGGCUAUAGUUUAAUGGACUACGACGGCUCAAGUGUAUUAACCCCUCUUUUGGUCCCUUUUCAUCUUUACCUCACCAAGGCCGACCUGGCUCGGGCUCAAAGGGGAUUAGAUACCCCUGUAGUUCCAGCUGUAAACGAUGCGGGCUAGCUGUUGGGCGGGCUUGGGGCCCGCCCAGUGGCGUAGGGAAGCCGUUAAGCCCGCCGCCUGGGGAGUACGGCCGCAAGGCUGAAACUUAAAGGAAAGGGAGGUUGGGAGCUGGGUGCAAAGGUGAUAAUUAAGAAGUGAAUAUGAUUAUGAGGUUAAGUUGGCGCAGAGGAACUAUGAAUGUAAUCUUUGUCCUCUUUGUCUGUCCGUCCAGCUUCCACCUCCCCCUGAGUUGGCGGGGGGGCACCACAAGGGGUGAAGCUUGCGGCUUAAUUGGAGUCAACGCCGGAAACCUCACCCGGGGCGACAGCAGGAUGAAGGCCAGGCUAAUGACCUUGCCGGACGAGCUGAGAGGAGGUGCAUGGCCGUCGUCAGCUCGUGCCGUGAGGUGUCCAGUUAAGUCUGGCAACGAGCGCGACCCCCGCCCCUUGUUGCCACCCUACCCUUCGGGGUAGGGGGCACACAAGGGGGACUGCCGGCGUAAGCCGGAGGAAGGAGGGGGCUACGGCAGGUCAGUAUGCCCCGAAACCCCGGGGCUGCACGCGAGCUGCAAUGGCGGGGACAGCGGGUUCCGACCCCGAAAGGGGGAGGCAAUCCCGUAAACCCCGCCCCAGUAGGAAUCGAGGGCUGCAACUCGCCCUCGUGAACGUGGAAUCCCUAGUAACCGCGUGUCACCAACGCGCGGUGAAUACGUCCCUGCCCCUU